rnacentral:rRNA from 1 species
GACGAACGCUGGCGGCGUGCCUAAUACAUGCAAGUUGAGCGAUGAAGCUUGGUGCUUGCACCAAUUUGAAGAGCAGCGAACGGGUGAGUAACGCGUGGGGAAUCUGCCUUUGAGCGGGGGACAACAUUUGGAAACGAAUGCUAAUACCGCAUAACAACUUUAAACAUAAGUUUUAAGUUUGAAAGAUGCAAUUGCAUCACUCAAAGAUGAUCCCGCGUUGUAUUAGCUAGUUGGUGAGGUAAAGGCUCACCAAGGCGAUGAUACAUAGCCGACCUGAGAGGGUGAUCGGCCACAUUGGGACUGAGGCACGGCCCAAACUCCUACGGGAGGCAGCAGUAGGGAAUCUUCGGCAAUGGACGAAAGUCUGACCGAGCAACGCCGCGUGAGUGAAGAAGGUUUUCGGAUCGUAAAACUCUGUUGGUAGAGAAGAACGUUGGUGAGAGUGGAAAGCUCAUCAAGUGACGGUAACUACCCAGAAAGGGACGGCUAACUACGUG